rnacentral:snRNA from 1 species
AUACUUACCUGGACAGGGUCAAUGGGUGAUCAUGAAGGCCCAUGGCCUAGGGUAGUGACCUCCAUUGCACUUAGGAGGGUUGCUAUCCUAAGGUCUACCCAAGUGGUGGAGCCUAUGUCAUAAUUUGUGGCAGUGGAGGCCUGUGUUCGCGCGGCCUCUC